UACAGAGGUCUCGAGCGUUAGGCGGAAUCACUGGGCUUAAAGCGUGUGUAGGCGGAUCGUUAAGUACCUUGUGAAAUCCCACGGCUUAACCGUGGAACUGCUUGGUAUACUGGCGGUCUUGAGCCAGCUAGGGGCUACCGGAACAAAUGGUGGAGCGGUGAGAUGCGUAGAUAUCAUUUGGAACGCCAAUGGUGAAAACAGGUAGCUGGGGCUGUGCUGACGCUGAGACACGAAAGCCAGGGGAGCAAACGGG
rnacentral:rRNA from 1 species